rnacentral:rRNA from 1 species
AGAGUUUGAUCCUGGCUCAGAACGAACGCUGGCGGCAUGCCUAACACAUGCAAGUCGAACGAGACCUUCGGGUCUAGUGGCGCACGGGUGCGUAACGCGUGGGAACCUGCCUUUAGGUUCGGAAUAACUCAGAGAAAUUUGAGCUAAUACCGGAUAAUGUCUUCGGACCAAAGAUUUAUCGCCUUUAGAUGGGCCCGCGUUGGAUUAGCUAGUUGGUGGGGUAAAGGCCUACCAAGGCGACGAUCCAUAGCUGGUCUGAGAGGAUGAUCAGCCACACUGGGACUGAGACACGGCCCAGACUCCUACGGGAGGCAGCAGUGGGGAAUAUUGGACAAUGGGCGAAAGCCUGAUCCAGCAAUGCCGCGUGAGUGAUGAAGGCCUUAGGGUUGUAAAGCUCUUUUACCCGAGAUGAUAAUGACAGUAUCGGGAGAAUAAGCUCCGGCUAACUCCGUGCCAGCAGCCGCGGUAAUACGGAGGGAGCUAGCGUUGUUCGGAAUUACUGGGCGUAAAGCGCACGUAGGCGGCUUUUUAAGUCAGGGGUGAAAUCCCGGGGCUCAACCCCGGAACUGCCCUUGAAACUGGGAAGCUAGAAUCUUGGAGAGGCGAGUGGAAUUCCGAGUGUAGAGGUGAAAUUCGUAGAUAUUCGGAAGAACACCAGUGGCGAAGGCGACUCGCUGGACAAGUAUUGACGCUGAGGAGCGAAAGCGUGGGUAGCGAACAGGAUUAGAUACCCUGGUAGUCC